GCGUCACAAUUGGUAUCAGAGCUUAGGCUUCAAAUCUUGUAGUGUAUCCUAGGCUUAAAUGUUUAGGAUGCCGGACUGUGGGACUGUUCUGAAAGUUAAAUGAUUGCUUGUAAUGAUAAAAUUUAGAGCCACUUCACGUGGUCUCUACAGAGGAGUAAAAUAGGGCCAAGUGGUGUUAUGGUCCUUCCCAUGUGAUUGAGUAAAGACUUAAGUGCCCUUCUAGAAAUG
rnacentral:lncRNA from 1 species